CCCCGAUUGAGAAGUUUUUUUGUCAAGGUUGGUCAUGUGAUAGCCAGAGUCUGUGUAGGGUGAGACUCAGCCAUUGGCCGGCAGCGUUUGGCGCUUCUCUAUAAGAACAGCCGAGUCUGUUCUGAGCUGUUUGAAGCCUUCCUCUACCGCCAGCGGCAGCUUUAUCUUCAUCUUCCGUAAGCACCUACAAACCUGACUGAGACAGUCUGGUGACUGCGGCUGGUUGCGACAAUAGCAAGCAUCAGAAUCACCUCGGACCUGGAUUACGGAGUGUAACGCGUUUUAAACGGCACGUUAAAUUGUGUUCCCUAGUUAAAGGAGAAGAAAAACACCACAGCGACAUGUGUGGUCUGAGUCUUUUUUUGUUCUGCUCAUGUACUUUCUGUUUCUUUUUGUUGAAUAGGGGUGAAAUAGCGAUUUUUCCCUAAAGCGUUCAAGUGUCAGCGGUUGACAGAAGUGACAUCUCGUAACAAGAUUUGCUUAAAAAGAUUUUUCAAAAGAAAAAGCAGUAGUGUAAUGGAGGGGACUUCCAGCUAACAGCAGCAGCGUGGUGCCAUGAGGAAAUACUGAUGAAAGAAUACUGAUCAUGGAGAUGACCUAAUCUGACCGGUAGCAAGGCGGAAGGAGUGAAAUACUCCAGGGAUGCAGGAGCAGCUGUUGGGGGGCUGGAAAAGUGAUUGUGCAGAAGGCAGAGUGACGGAUGUAAGGAGAGCUUAAUCAAGAUCGCUGGAUGGAUGAGGUGUUAAAUAUUGAAGAUGUCACAACUGAAACUGGCCACUAGGAAUUUCACCUACAAUGGCA